rnacentral:rRNA from 1 species
GAUGAACGCUGACAGAAUGCUUAACACAUGCAAGUCCACUUGAACUUCGGUUUGGGUGGCGGACGGGUGAGUAACGCGUAAAGAACUUGCCUCACAGAUAGGGACAACAUUUGGAAACGAAUGCUAAUACCUGAUAUUAUGAUUAUAUGGCAUCGUAUAAUUAUGAAAGCUAUAUGCGCUGUGAGAGAGCUUUGCGUCCCAUUGGCUAGUUGGAGAGGUAACGGCUCACCAAGGCGAUGAUGGGUAGCCGGCCUGAGAGGGUGAUCGGCCACAAGGGGACUGAGACACGGCCCUUACUCCUACGGGAGGCAGCAGUGGGGAAUAUUGGACAAUGGACCAAGAGUCUGAUCCAGCAAUUCUGUGUGCACAAUGAAGUUUUUCGGAAUGUAAAGUGCUUUCAGUUGGGAAGAAAAAAAUGACGGUACCAACAGAAGAAGUGACGGCUAAAUACGUG